UCAGAGCAGGAAGCCAGGCCACAGUUCAGGGGCACAGAGGCCAAGCCCUGCUCCUUCAGGGAGACACAGAAAUGGCUAAGGCAAGGCUAGUCAUAUAUCAGAAGUAAGCGGAGGUUAUAAACCAUAAAACAACCUGGCAAGUGUCAUGGUGCUGAGGUGGCUAAAGUCUGACCAUGUCCACAACUCAUGCACAUCCAGGCCCAGCUAAGAGAACUCAGGAGCGAUAAACAGCCACCAGAAGGAGCCACCAUCUAUGCCCAGAGGAAGACUGUGCCGUCAGCAGCCAUGUGAACGCCUACUGUCUCAACGGCGCCUGCAAAGGCUGAGGGUCUCAAGAGGCAGCCUGGAGUUGUAAGUGCCCCCUGUCCCCUCUCUGCUCACACCAGCCGGCCCUUAACUCCCAGCACACUCUUCUCCACGGGGGUGCCUGUCUGGAUUCCUGUCUCACACUCAACCUCUCUCUCACCCUCAGUCUUCAUGAGCUGAGGGCUAGCAAGCCCCUACAGAGAGUGUAUCUGUGACCAGCUCCCUGGGGCCUCCCGGGACUUCAGGACUUCAGGAAAUGCUAAAUCCCCCAGGCACUGCAGCUGCUAUCUCUGUGUCUUCCUCAGUCAGCUCUCACAAUUGUUUCUGUGCUCAGAGAUUAUACACAAAGAGUUGAAUGGCCUGUCUGAAUUCUGAAUUCAUAAAACAGCCUCCCUAAGCAUCCAGAGAAUGACGGGUCUCUAGGAAGUCGGAAACCUUGGUUAAAGCGCAUCCACCCAAUGAAGGCACCUGAAUUACCCCACAGUGCAAGACAAGUCCUCCCCUCCCCCCCAUCACACUAUGGCCUUAAAGCAGGCUCCCUUAGCCUUCCAGUCAGUUUGAUAAUUUCUCUCUCUCUCCUUCGGACCUGCCACAUCUCUCUGGUGUUAAAUAAUUAGUCUACAGACUCACGGAACAAUCUUUAUUGUCUGUGCCUUCUACUGUAUCAGAGACCAGGCAAGAACAAAAGCUGGCUUAAAUGAUUUUGUUGAAGAUAAUUACUUACUACACUGACAAACUAAGAUUUAAACUAGUUGGGGUUUUAACUGAGAUAUAUUUGAAUACACAAACAUCAUUGAAUUUUGUAAGUAUUGAA